GGCCCGUUGGAGAAGCGGUUAACUCACAAGCCUUUCACGCUUGCAUUCGCGGGUUCGAAUCCCGCACGGGUCACCA
rnacentral:tRNA from 1 species